rnacentral:rRNA from 1 species
UACGUAGGGUGCAAGCGUUGUCCGGAAUUAUUAGGCGUAAAGAGCUCGUAGGCGGUUUGUUGCGUCGGCUGUGAAAUCCCGAGGCUCAACCUCGGGUCUGCAGUCGAUACGAGCAAACUAGAGUGUUGCAGGGGAGACUGGAAUUCCUGGUGUAGCGGUGAAAUGCGCAGAUAUCAGGAGGAACACCGGUGGCGAAGGCGGGUCUCUGGGCCGAUACUGACGCUGAGGAGCGAAAGCGUGGGGAGCGAACAGG